rnacentral:rRNA from 1 species
AACGUACCCCAAAGUGAGGGAUAAGCACCAGAAAUGGUGUCUAAUACCACAUGUGGCCUUCGGGCUAAAGCUCCGGCGCUUUGGGAACGGCCUGCGCAUGAUUAGCUAGUUGGUGAGGUAAAAGCUCACCAAGGCGACGAUCAUUAGCUGGUCUGAGAGGAUGACCAGCCAGACUGGAACUGAGAACGGUCCAGACUCCUACGGGAGGCAGCAGUAGGGAAUUUUCCACAAUGGGCGAAAGCCUGAUGGAGCAACGCCGCGUGCAG